rnacentral:tRNA from 1 species
AGGAAAAGAUUAAUUAAAAUUAAGCUUCUAACUUAAAUUUUUAGCGGUGUGACUCCGUUACUUUCCUA